rnacentral:rRNA from 1 species
GACGAACGCUGGCGGCGUGCUUCAUACAUGCAAGUCGAACGAGAAGCUGACUUCGGUCAGUGGAAAGUGGCGGACGGGUGAGUAAUAUGUAGGAAAUCUGCCUUUAGGAGGGGGACAACAGAGGGAAACUUCUGCUAAUACCCCAUAUGAGCGUAGCUGAAAUGCUAUUCUUGAAAACUCCGGUGCCUAAAGAUGAGCCUGCAUCUGAUUAGCUAGUUGGUAGUGUAAUGGACUACCAAGGCGACGAUCAGUAGCUGGUUUGAGAGGAUGAUCAGCCACAAUGGGACUGAGACACGGCCCAGACUCCUACGGGAGGCAGCAGUAGGGAAUUUUGCGCAAGGGGCGAAAGCCUGACGCAGCAUCGCCGCGUGAACGAUUAAGCCCUUCGAGGUGUAAAGUUCUGUCAGUGGGGACGAAACUUGACGGUACCCACAGAGGAAGCACCGGCUAACUCCGUG